AGACUCCUGGAACGGGUCUUCACCCAAAAGGUGUUAGGGUCAUGCUCCUUAACAUCGCCCGAGGACGGGGCCGCGGCCGAUCAGGUAGUUGGCGAGGCAACGGCUCACCAAGCCUAUAACCGGUACGGGCCGUGGGAGCGGGAGCCCGGAGAUGGGUACUGAGACAAGGGCCCAGGCCCUACGGGGCGCAGCAGUUGCGAAAACUUGUCAAUGCACGAAAGUGUGAACGGGCUACCCCGAGUGCCAUCCGCUCGAGNGAUGGCUUUUCUCUGCUGUAAGAAGGCGGAGGAAUAAGGAGAGGGCAAGUCUGGUGUCAGCCGCCGCGGUAAUACCAGCUCUCCGAGUGGUAGGGAUGAUUAUUGGGCCUAAAGCGUUCGUAGCCGGCCUUCCAAGUCUUUCGUUAAAUCCAGCGAUUCAAUCGUUGGACUGCGGGAGAUACUGUUAGGCUAGGGGACGGGAGAAGCCGACGGUAUNUCCNGGGUAGGGGUAAAAUCCUAUAAUCCGGGGAAGACCACCAGUGGCGUAGGCGGUCGGCUAGCACGCGCUCGACGGUGAGGGACGA
rnacentral:rRNA from 1 species